rnacentral:rRNA from 1 species
AUUUAUUUCUAGUGGCGGACGGGUGAGUAACGCGUGGGUAACCUGCCUUAUACAGGGGGAUAACAGUCAGAAAUGACUGCUAAUACCGCAUAAGCGCACAGAGCUGCAUGGCUCAGUGUGAAAAACUCCGGUGGUAUAAGAUGGACCCGCGUUGGAUUAGCUAGUUGGUGGGGUAACGACCCACCAAGGCGACGAUCCAUAGCCGGCCUGAGAGGGUGAACGGCCACAUUGGGACUGAGACACGGCCCAGACUCCUACGGGAGGCAGCAGUGGGGAAUAUUGCACAAUGGGGGAAACCCUGAUGCAGCGACGCCGCGUGAAGGAAGAAGUAUCUCGGUAUGUAAACUUCUAUCAGCAGGGAAGAUAGUGACGGUACCUGACUAAGAAGCCCCGGCUAACUACGUGCCAGCAGCCGCGGUAAUACGUAGGGGGCAAGCGUUAUCCGGAUUUACUGGGUGUAAAGGGAGCGUAGACGGUGUGGCAAGUCUGAUGUGAAAGGCAUGGGCUCAACCUGUGGACUGCAUUGGAAACUGUCAUACUUGAGUGCCGGAGGGGUAAGCGGAAUUCCUAGUGUAGCGGUGAAAUGCGUAGAUAUUAGGAGGAACACCAGUGGCGAAGGCGGCUUACUGGACGGUAAC